AACAAACGCUGGCGGCGUGCCUAACACAUGCAAGUCGAACGUGAAAGUUGGCUUCGGCCGACGAGUAAAGUGGCGCACGGGUGAGUAACGCGUGGAUAAUCUGCCCUUCAGUUGGGAAUAACUCAUCGAAAGGUGAGCUAAUACCGAAUAACACUGCCUGACCACGGUCCGGUAGUCAAAGAUAGCCUCUGCUUGCAAGCUUUCGCUGAAAGAUGAGUCCGCGUACCAUUAGCUAGUUGGUGGGGUAAUGGCCUACCAAGGCGACGAUGGUUAGCUGGCCUGAGAGGAUGAUCAGCCACACUGGAACUGAGACACGGUCCAGACUCCUACGGGAGGCAGCAGUGAGGAAUCUUGCGCAAUGGGGGAAACCCUGACGCAGCAACGCCGCGUGAGUGAGGAAGGUCUUCGGAUCGUAAAGCUCUGUCGGGUGGAAAGAAAUGUAUGGGGUUAAUAGCCUUCAUACUUGACGGUACCACCAAAGGAGCACCGG
rnacentral:rRNA from 1 species